CUCUUUUUGUAGUUCAUAAAUGUGGGGGCUGGGUUUUCACACUCAUAUAUGAAAUGUUCCUCCCACAACACAUUAACAAUCUGAUG
rnacentral:snoRNA from 1 species